UAGCAUUCGAGAUCUCAAAGCCGAUGCCGGGAUGAAAGGGCUGCUUCCCGGCGCGCAGUUCGCCGAUGCGUUUCGCAUCGCAGUGAAUGACGACACCCUCACCGCGCGGCAGGCGGCGGGGGGAAUGUUUCUCCGUUUGCCGCGCGGGAUCGACGGUCUGAUGAAGCUGCGAAAUCUUGUGGUCGCACCUCUCGGCCUCAAGACACCCACCCAUACAAAAACCAUCGUUGCGGAUUCGAUCGGACCGUUUCC
rnacentral:misc_RNA from 1 species